UACGUAGGGUGCAAGCGUUAAUCGGAAUUACUGGGCGUAAAGCGCGCGCAGGCGGUUUCUUAAGUCUGAUGUGAAAGCCCACGGCUCAACCGUGGAGGGUCAUUGGAAACUGGGAAACUUGAGUGCAGAAGAGAAGAGUGGAAUUCCACGUGUAGCGGUGAAAUGCGUAGAGAUGUGGAGGAACACCAGUGGCGAAGGCGACUCUUUGGUCUGUAACUGACGCUGAGGCGCGAAAGCGUGGGGAGCAAACAGG
rnacentral:rRNA from 1 species